CUUUUGAUUUAUAGGUGAGGUUAAAAUCACAGGACAAGAAGAGCAUGCUCCAAAAAUAAAAGCAGACUUUGGCUUAUGCUGUCCAGCGAAUUGCCAUAUGAAAGCAGGAGGAUUUCGGUUCAUCCACAAUCUCCUGUCCUUACAAGAGUAACUAUAGCCAUGCUGGUGUGUUCAAAGGAAGGAAGAAGACAGCCACAUUACAGCUCUGUGUACUUUGGAAGCACUGCAAGAGAGAGAGGAGAAAUUCUGGAUGGAGGCCCAAUGUAUGGCAACAGAGCAGGAGAUGGAAGUGAUAAGAGGAAUACAUGCGCUGCUCUGGAUGCAUGCUCUGCAGCACAACUUUUGCAGAAAAAGGGAAGGUGAGCAGAAGCCUGCAGGCUCUGCUAUUUUGCAUAGAAAUAUUCCCUUCUAGACCACAGUUUGAUUUCUUCCCAGGCGACUAAUAACUUAAAAGUGCUAAUUAUGGUGCAAGGUUUCAUAAUAUACACGAAGCAGCUGGGUCCUGCUGCUCUUCCUAUUGAACAAACACCACAACAGGUCACCAGAUGACCUCUUCUGUGGAGGCAGCAGCCCCAGAGAGGUAAGAGCUCUCCCAUCUCAGGAGAUGCUUGCUCCAAGGGUUACUGCUCUCUCCUAGGAAUGUGCACACUCCUCGCUGUGCCUGGCUACUUUGCUGGCUUUGGUAAGCCUUCCUUACGGAAGAGCUACACAGCUCCCUUUCUGCCUUUCCUUCAAGCUUCCUCAUUUGUAAGGAAGUGAUAUUUAGGAAUUAUGUUUUUUCUUUUAUGAUCUUUUCCCAUGUGACUGUCAAGCGGGUUGGCACAAAUAGAGUGUUUGGAUUCCUGUUGUUGAAACUAUGUUGAGGACACCAGCGAUCUGAAAACCCGUAUCUGUGGACAGCAGCUGGUGAUUAAACAUGGGUCUCUAAUAUCGU
rnacentral:lncRNA from 7 species